rnacentral:lncRNA from 1 species
AUGACAAACUCCAAAAGGAAACCCAAGCAGCUAUUUGACUCACUUAUGAAGUCACCCAGUAUGGAUGAUUCAGGUAGGAUUUUUCUCACCUUUGGAAAAAAUAAAUCUCUUACCAGAGAUAUGAAAAAUUCAGCUGAAUUUAUUUAUGGCCUUGGUAAAGGUCUUUUCAUGCUCUACAAUGGCAAUAUUUUUACAAAACCAACAGAGGGAAGAUCCUUCCACAACAGCAAGUGUGUAUUGCAGCAGGAUCUGAGAGUCUUGGUGCCAGGGCACCAUGCUAAGUAA